GACGAACGCUGGCGGCGUGCUUAACACAUGCAAGUCGAACGGAAAGGCCCUUCGGGGUACUCGAGUGGCGAACGGGUGCGUAACACGUGGGUGAUCUGCCCCGCACUUUGGGAUAAGCCUGGGAAACUGGGUCUAAUACCGAAUAUGAUCAUCGGCUCCAUGGUCGGUGGUGGAAAGCUUUUGCGGUGUGGGAUGGGCCCGCGGCCUAUCAGCUUGUUGGUGGGGUAAUGGCCUACCAAGGCGACGACGGGUAGCCGGCCUGAGAGGGUGACCGGCCACACUGGGACUGAGAUACGGCCCAGACUCCUACGGGAGGCAGCAGUGGGGAAUAUUGCACAAUGGGCGGAAGCCUGAUGCAGCGACGCCGCGUGAGGGAUGACGGCCUUCGGGUUGUAAACCUCUUUCAGCACAGACGAAGCGCAAGUGACGGUAUGUGCAGAAGAAGGACCGGCCAACUACGUG
rnacentral:rRNA from 1 species